AUGUGUACGACCUUGUGUGUCCUGAUAAAAGGAGGCUUUCCCAUCAGUCUGACUCUCAGUCUCCUCUGGGACCAAGCUGGUGACACUGACCUGAUCUCUCUUCACCUGGUGAACCUGAACUCUGAGCUUCAGUUAUGGCUCGUCUGGAGCAGGCCAUUGCAACCAUUGUGGAUGUAUUUUCCGACUACGCUGACAAAUCUGGUAAUAUAAACAACGAGGAAAGAGGGAGGCUGUUUCAGAAAGAAAUUGAAAACCCUUUAUUCCUACAAAACAUCGCUGCAGCUCACAGUGACAAUAUGCCACGGGUGCUGGAUGCGAACGCUGAUGGACAGAUGAACUUCCAAGAGUUCACUGUGUGUGUCUGUAGGAUGCUCAGAUUCCACUACAAGAGGGUGGCACACGAGGGCCAAUGACACGGCUUCUAAGUUUGCAUGUAAAACUUUGAUGAAUGGCAUAUGUGGCACUGCCUACUGCUAAAUCCACUCUAGACUAAAAAUUGGUUUUCAAAGAAGUGUCCAUUCAAUACUUGUUUAGAGACAAAAAAAAUAAAUAAAUAAAAAUUGUGAUGUUUAAUUGGA